CUACUGAUACUGCUAAUACUGCAUCUAACGCUGAGAGUACCUCAAACUACAGAAGUACUGCAGUACAAAACAAUACAUCCUCUGUCAGUAAUAGUUGUGGUAGCAGUAGAAGUACUCGCAGUACUAUUCCACUUGUUCUUUUUCAGCCAAAGUUCUGCUGGAGCUGGCUGAGGGUUCAUCUGUUGCCACGGCGAGCACGCUGUUGGUUGGGGCCGGCCUGUCCUCCCACCUGACGGGCUCUGAGGCUCUGACCCUGCUGGCUCCUCUGGAUGACGCCUUCAAAGGAAGUGACACGACGAUGACACCUGACUUGAAGAAGCUGAUGACGAAUCACAUCCUGAAGGAGCAGCUGUCCUCUAAGUCUCUGUAUCACGGUCAGGAGCUGGAGACUUUGGGAGGCCUCAAACUGCGAGUGUUCGUCUACAGAAACGUAAGAACUCUGAUGACGUUCCUCACGCUGAAGCGUAUUUCCACGUCUCUGUUUUCUCCUGUUUUAUGAACAGUGUUAGCAUUAGCUUCAGUUGGGUUGGAUGGAGAUCGGAUCAUCUGCUCCACGAGUCUCGAUGCCCACUUCAAGACCACGUUAAAAACACAAAACCAAACAAUAACUCUUGUGCACUUCAACAAACGAAAUGCUUUAUAACUGUUUGCACACGGCAGGUUUAUUAAUAAUUCCUGAUGAAAACCUCAAUUUAACAGGAUUACAUUUGAACACGUCGUCAUAAUGUUAUAAUGCUAGAACUUGAACGCAUCAUAAUGUAACUCAAUUCUACGUUAGCCGUUAGCUCCGUUAUUUAUCCAAGCAGGACUGUGCUGCCCACCUGUUGCUAACAGCUAGCAGCUAACGUUGUUCACAAUUUAGCAUUACCACUCAGAGACAUCUUGGUUGGGCUCGAGUCCUGAUCCAGGUACCUACGGUACUCUUGGUCAUGUAGAAAAAACAGUAUCGACUUCUUACAGAGUUUCAGUUGUCCUGACGACCCGUACCGGAGUUCGUCUGUAACCGGACCGAGACCAGCUCUUCAACAAGGUCUUGGUCCGGUUGUUUUGGUCCGCACCAAAGUAGGAUUGCUGUUUUCACAUCUGUCGAAACAAACCUACCAACAGGGGUCGCUUCAACCAAAGUAAAGAGGCAGGUGUGAAAACGUCUCUCGUCUUGUUGGUCAUAUUACAGCUCU